rnacentral:rRNA from 1 species
UACGGAGGGUGCAAGCAUUAAUCGGAUUUAUUGGGCGUAAAGGGCGCGUAGGCGGGAGCGUAAGUCAGAUGUGAAAGCCCGGGGCUCAACCCCGGAAUGGCAUUUGGUACUGCGUUUCUAGAGGGUAGGCGGAGAAAAUAGAAUUCCACAAGUAGCGGUGAAAUGCGUAGAUAUGUGGAAGAAUACCGGUGGCGAAGGCGGUUUUCUAGCUUAUACCUGACGCUGAGGCGCGAAAGCAAGGGGAUCAAACAGG